rnacentral:rRNA from 1 species
AGGAAUAUUGGUCAAUGGGCGUAAGCCUGAACCAGCCAAGUAGCGUGAGGGAAGACUGCCCUAUGGGUUGUAAACCUCUUUUGUGCGGGGAUAAAGUGUGGGACGUGUCCCAUAUUGCAGGUACCGCACGAAUAAGGACCGGCUAAUUCCGUGCCAGCAGCCGCGGUAAUACGGAAGGUCCGGGCGUUAUCCGGAUUUAUUGGGUUUAAAGGGAGCGCAGACGGGGGAUUAAGUCAGUUGUGAAAGUUUGCGGCUCAACCGUAAAAUUGCAGUUGAUACUGGUUCCCUUGAGUGCAGUUGAGGCAGGCGGAAUUCGUGGUGUAGCGGUGAAAUGCAUAGAUAUCACGAAGAACCCCGAUUGCGAAGGCAGCCUGCUAAGCUGUAACUGACGUUGAGGCUCGAAAGUGUGGGUAUCAAACAGGAUUAGAUACCCUGGUAGUCCACACGGUAAACGAUGGAUACUCGCUGUUGGCGAUAUACUGUCAGCGGCCAAGCGAAAGCAUUAAGUAUCCCACCUGGGGAGUACGCCGGCAACGGUGAAACUCAAAGGAAUUGACGGGGGCCCGCACAAGCGGAGGAACAUGUGGUUUAAUUCGAUGAUACGCGAGGAACCUUACCCGGGCUUAAAUUGCAGACGAAUUACUUGGAAACAGGUAAGCCGCAAGGCGUCUGUGAAGGUGCUGCAUGGUUGUCGUCAGCUCGUGCCGUGAGGUGUCGGCUUAAGUGCCAUAACGAGCGCAACCCUCGUGGCCAGUUACUAGCAGGUAACGCUGAGGACUCUGGCCAGACUGCCAUCGCAAGAUGCGAGGAAGGUGGGGAUGACGUCAAAUCAGCACGGCCCUUACGUCCGGGGCUACACACGUGUUACAAUGGGAGGUACAGAAGGCAGCUACCCGGCGACGGGAUGCCAAUCUCCAAAGCCUCUCUCAGUUCGGACUGGAGUCUGCAACCCGACUCCACGAAGCUGGAUUCGCUAGUAAUCGCGCAUCAGCCACGGCGCGGUGAAUACGUUCCCG